UGGGGAAUAUUGCACAAUGGGCGAAAGCCUGAUGCAGCAACGCCGCGUGAGUGAUGAAGGCCUUCGGGUUGUAAAGCUCUGUCUUUUGGGACGAUAAUGACGGUACCAAAGGAGGAAGCCACGGCUAACUACGUGCCAGCAGCCGCGGUAAUACGUGGGUGGCAAGCGUUGUCCGGAUUUACUGGGCGUAAAGGAUGCGUAGGCGGAUUUUUUAAGUGAGAUGUGAAAUACCCGGGCUUAACUUGGGUGCUGCAUUUCAAACUGGGAAUCUAGAGUGCGGGAGAGGAGAAUGGAAUUCCUAGUGUAGCGGUGAAAUGCGUAGAGAUUAGGAAGAACACCAGUGGCGAAGGCGAUUCUCUGGACCGUAACUGACGCUGAGGCAUGAAAGCGUGGGUAGCAAACAGGAUUAGAUACCCUGGUAGUCCACGCCGUAAACGAUGAGUACUAGGUGUAGGAGGUAUCGACCCCUUCUGUGCCGCAGUUAACACAAUAAGUACUCCGCCUGGGAAGUACGAUCGCAAGAUUAAAA
rnacentral:rRNA from 1 species